UACGUAGGGUGCGAGCGUUGUCCGGAAUUAUUGGGCGUAAAGAGCUCGUAGGCGGCUUGUCGCGUCGGAUGUGAAAGCCCGGGGCUUAACCCCGGGUCUGCAUUCGAUACGGGCAGGCUAGAGUUCGGUAGGGGAGAUCGGAAUUCCUGGUGUAGCGGUGAAAUGCGCAGAUAUCAGGAGGAACACCAGCGGCGAAGGCGGCGCUCUGGGCCGGAACUGACGCUGAGGCACGAAGGCCAGGGGAGCAAACGGG
rnacentral:rRNA from 1 species